AGAGUUUGAUCAUGGCUCAGAUUGAACGCUGGCGGCAGGCCUAACACAUGCAAGUCGAGCGGUAGCACAGAGAGCUUGCUCUCGGGUGACGAGCGGCGGACGGGUGAGUAAUGUCUGGGAAACUGCCUGAUGGAGGGGGAUAACUACUGGAAACGGUAGCUAAUACCGCAUAACGUCGCAAGACCAAAGUGGGGGACCUUCGGGCCUCAUGCCAUCAGAUGUGCCCAGAUGGGAUUAGCUAGUAGGUGGGGUAACGGCUCACCUAGGCGACGAUCCCUAGCUGGUCUGAGAGGAUGACCAGCCACACUGGAACUGAGACACGGUCCAGACUCCUACGGGAGGCAGCAGUGGGGAAUAUUGCACAAUGGGCGCAAGCCUGAUGCAGCCAUGCCGCGUGUGUGAAGAAGGCCUUCGGGUUGUAAAGCACUUUCAGCGGGGAGGAAGGCGAUAAGGUUAAUAACCUUGGCGAUUGACGUUACCCGCAGAAGAAGCACCGGCUAACUCCGUGCCAGCAGCCGCGGUAAUACGGAGGGUGCAAGCGUUAAUCGGAAUUACUGGGCGUAAAGCGCACGCAGGCGGUCUGUCAAGUCGGAUGUGAAAUCCCCGGGCUCAACCUGGGAACUGCAUUCGAAACUGGCAGGCUAGAGUCUUGUAGAGGGGGGUAGAAUUCCAGGUGUAGCGGUGAAAUGCGUAGAGAUCUGGAGGAAUACCGGUGGCGAAGGCGGCCCCCUGGACAAAGACUGACGCUCAGGUGCGAAAGCGUGGGGAGCAAACAGGAUUAGAUACCCUGGUAGUCCACGCCGUAAACGAUGUCGAUUUGGAGGUUGUGCCCUUGAGGCGUGGCUUCCGGAGCUAACGCGUUAAAUCGACCGCCUGGGGAGUACGGCCGCAAGGUUAAAACUCAAAUGAAUUGACGGGGGCCCGCACAAGCGGUGGAGCAUGUGGUUUAAUUCGAUGCAACGCGAAGAACCUUACCUGGUCUUGACAUCCACAGAACUUAGCAGAGAUGGUUUGGUGCCUUCGGGAACUGUGAGACAGGUGCUGCAUGGCUGUCGUCAGCUCGUGUUGUGAAAUGUUGGGUUAAGUCCCGCAACGAGCGCAACCCUUAUCCUUUGUUGCCAGCGGUCCGGCCGGGAACUCAAAGGAGACUGCCAGUGAUAAACUGGAGGAAGGUGGGGAUGACGUCAAGUCAUCAUGGCCCUUACGACCAGGGCUACACACGUGCUACAAUGGCAUAUACAAAGAGAAGCGACCUCGCGAGAGCAAGCGGACCUCAUAAAGUAUGUCGUAGUCCGGAUUGGAGUCUGCAACUCGACUCCAUGAAGUCGGAAUCGCUAGUAAUCGUAGAUCAGAAUGCUACGGUGAAUACGUUCCCGGGCCUUGUACACACCGCCCGUCACACCAUGGGAGUGGGUUGCAAAAGAAGUAGGUAGCUUAACCUUCGGGAGGGCGCUUACCACUUUGUGAUUCAUGACUGGGGUGAAGUCGUAACAAGGUAACCGUAGGGGAACCUGCGGUUGGAUCACCU
rnacentral:rRNA from 1 species